UGUGCAUGUAUUCUCAUCAGCUCUACUCAAAGUGUGGUCCUUUUACUGGUUUAUGACAAGAUAAUCAUAGAAAGAGAAAAUAAAACAUUCAAACAUUUUUAUAUUUGACAGCCAUUUUAUGUCUAUUAUAAUAAAUGGGGCUUUUAUUUUGUAUCUCAAAAUUUUUCUAGUCAUUAAUUUUUAUUGUAUUUUACCAAAGUAUCAAUCUGCAAUGGAUAGAAAUUUUUAAAAAAACAAAAACAAAAAACAGUCCUUUGGUGAAAGCUUGAGAAUCACUGUACUGCAGUGUGAGCCUUCUUAAAAGACUCCUUAUGUGAGUAGAAAUGUACAGAUUAGCUUAGUAAAAUUACCUAAGGCAACUUUUGGUUCACCAUAACUUAUGAAGCAUAGAAAUUUUUUAAAUGACUGCAGAUUCAUACCAGUCUUUCCAUUUCCAUUGGUAGAAAGAUGUACCUUAAUCCGGAGGGAAAAAAGCAAACAGAAACAGAAAGGUGUUAGGUAUUUUAUGGCUUACAAGCUCUAUUUAUCUUUUAAAAGAAAAAAAAUGUAGAGAAAUACAAAGGACUUUUAAAAAGUUACUUCAGUCAUAAAUUAUUAGAAAGGUAUCUUUUAAAGAUUGAAAGCUACAGAUUACUUAUAGAUCGUUUACAGUGGCACCAAAAGGCCCAUAAGGCUAAAUCUCUAAUUGAAACAAGAGGGAAGGGGACAGGGCACGACCAUUAAAAGAAUGACAUGGCCAUAGGCCCGACAAAAACUGGUUGGAACUCACUAGAUCCAAGAUGGCAGGAGAUCGAUUUCCCAUGGACUUGAGCCUCAUUAUAUGCUCAUUGUAAUAUAUUAGCAUGCUAAAUGACACACCCACCAGCACCAUGACAGUUCUGAGGCUAACCGUAAAAGGCCAUAAAAGACCAAAAAGUGGGCAGUGGCCCAAUUCCUGGAAGUCUCUGCCCCUUUCCCCCAAAUAAUUGGAAUAAUCCUCUCACUCAUUAGCCUAUGAAAUUACCCAGCCCAUAAAAACUAACCACACCAUAUUUUGGGACCCUCUCUCGCCUUCUGAGAUGGCCCUCGCUCUGUCUGUGCAGUGUGUUUCUCCCAAGGCCUCUCAUCUUCUGAGAUGGUCCGCACUCCACUUCUUACCUAUCACUUCAUCUCCAUAUUCUUUUAGAAUGAAGCAAGAACCUCAGAUUCACUGGGAACAUGUUGGUGAGCUAGCCAGGAGAAUUCGGAGCACCCUCUCCAUGAAGCAACGACGCAAAACACCUCCUCCAUCCCCAAGGGCUCACCCCUUGGUUGCAAUUUGAGUCACUGGGACAAGUUUUCUCUAGAUUCUUUAAAACGAAAAAGCUCAUUUUCUUUUGUAAUGAAGCCUGGUCCCAGUAUAAACUUGAGGACGAUGAGGCCUGGCCAGCAAACGGGAGCCUCAACUAUAAUACCAAUCCUACAGUUAGACAUCUUUUGCAAAAGGCAGGGGAAAUGGGACAGAAGUUCCUUAUGUACAGGCUCUUAUGGCCCUGAGAGAAAACCCGGAGCUUCGCAAGUCCUAGGUUAGGGAACCUGGCCGGCUGGGACCCAUUUAGGCUACACAAAAGCCCUCUGUAGUGGCACACCUAGAAGAACAGGAGCCCCAGACAGGAGACCCAAGUCCUAACGCUCUUCCACCAUCUUCAGCCUCUCCCCCGCCCUAUAAGCCUCUUUACCCUUCCGUACCAGAAAUGCAGCCAGAGCCUCUUUGCCCCCUUCAGGAAGUAACAGGUGGGCCUCAGGGAAUUACCAGAGUCCACACCCCUUUUUCCUUGUCUGACCUUAACCAAUGCCACACCUGCUUAGGCAGAUUCUUGGAGGACCUGGGGCAGUUCACCGAAGAAUUCCAGGCACUGACUCUCUCCUUUGACCUUACCUGGAAGGAUGAAAAUAUUGUCCUUUCCCACUGCUGCACCAGUGAGCAAAAGGUCCGUAUCUGGGCACAGGUUCAAACAUAUGCUGAUGAAUUAAGUGUUGCCCAACCACAUCGAUAUCCUUUGGGCCUGACAGCAGAGCCUCUAAUGGAUCCCAGUUGGGACUAUCAACCAGGCCAGUCUGGUAUCACUAGUAGGGAUCACAUGAUCCUUCGCCUCGUUGAAGGGAUGAAAUGAUGUGUAAUUACACCUGUUAACUAUGUUAAGGUUAAAGAGGCCACCCAAGGCCAAGAUGAUAAUCCAGCCCUAUUUCAGCCCCGAUUGGUAGAUGCCCUCAGAAAAUAUACGAAUAUAGACCCAAAUAUUUUCAAGGGACACAAUGUAUUUGCAACCCACUUCAUUAGCCAAUCAACCCCUACAUCUGUCGGAAGCUUCAAAAGCUUGCCAUGGGGCCCUAAACCCCUCUCAACCUUCUUAUUGACACAGCCUUCAGUGUUUUUAUCAAUAGAGACCGGGCUGAGGAGGAAAAGAAGGAACAGCAUGAUUUGAGGAAGGAACAAGAGCAAGCCAAGCUUUUGGCAGCUGUCAUGACGAGACCUAAGCCACCUCCUUCCUGGUCACCCCAAAAGUACUCCUAGAAGACCUCCACCAGGGAAAGGAACCAGUUUCAGCUGUGGGAGUCCUGAACACUGGAGCAAGGAAUGCUCAGGAAACAGGUCCCAGCCUACACCCAAAACGCCAUGCCCACUCUGCAAGAAGAUGGGCCACUGGAAGAAGGACUGCCCCCAGCUCCAAAGGGAGUGAGGAUAUUCCCCCAUGCCAGUCAUAGCAGUGGUUGAUUGACAGGACCUGGGACCCCCCAAGGCUCCUGAGAAGACAGUCAUCAUACACGGGAGGAACUGCGGGUGACCACUGAUGUGGCAGUUAUGAGUGUUAGGAGCUCAAGACCUGUAGCCUGCAACUGUUACCUGAGACAGAAGGAAAUCCUGCAGCUCCUGCUCCUGGUGAGACAG